rnacentral:piRNA from 1 species
UCACUGAAUACUGUCUUUUAACACUUGC